ensembl:lncRNA
CUGGUGGUGUGUGUGAUCCCAGCACAGCUGCGCUCAUUAACGGCGAUACGUACGAUUCAUUAAUAUAGAAUAUAAUUCCACACAGGUGAGCUGGGAACCACAAGGUUGGUGGUUUGAGCCCCGGCUGCUCCAUGUCCCACGUCAACGUGUCCCUGAGCAAGACACCUGACCCCUAAUUGCUCCCUGGGCAAAAAUGUAAAAAGCCAUGGGUUUAAAAAUGUAAUGUACAUUUGAAAUCCGAGUUACAUUGAACUCCCCAGGAGACUCCCACAGGUGUGGACACUAACUGUCACACCUUUACGGAUCGGUAUAAAUACCUGCAGGAACCGUUGUUCUGGAGUUCGCUGGUGGAGGCAGCAGACGGGCACUAUGGGGGGUCACAGGACCCCGUGGAGACCAGCGGCUCCUCAGCUGAGAUGUUCUUUUUACCACAACACCAUCUCUUUUAUUAAUUACA